CGCCUCCACGGCAAGAGCGCCUCCUGAUGGUAGGCUCGCGUUCCAGCAUCAGGGAAAUGUUACGAAUUAGAUUUACGAGCAGAAAGAGUGAGGCGGAGUGUAAACCCCAUUUCAACAUAUGGAGGUUUUAAAUCACCAGAAAAUAAGGCCGAGACAUCUGCGAUCAGCGUACACAGGGAAAACAAAGCAUUGGGGUGCGACGAUAUGUACAUACGGGACAGAGAAUGGAGAAUUAGAGAGAGCAGGAGAAUGCCGAAGGGUGUGCAUGUGAGAGAGGAAGAAGGAAUGAAAGCAGAAGAACAAGCAAUGGGUGUUGACCAGGUACAAACGGUGGUGGAUGUGACCCAGUCCAUCACAGGCAAAGCCCUUCCCACCACUGAGCACUACCAGGAAGAGUACCACAAGAAAGCAGCCUCCAUCAUCAAGGACUGCACACACCCCACUGCCCCCCCCCCCCCCCCCCAGCAUUCAGGCCAUGCUCUCUUCUUGCUGUCACCAUCAGAAAGGAGGUGCAAGAGCUUUAGGUCCCACACCACCAGGUCCAGGGACAGUUAUUACCCUUCAACCAUCAGUCUCCUGAACCAGGAUGGAUAACUUCACUCACCCCACCACUGAACUGGUUCCACAACCGAUAGAUUCACGUUCAAGGACUCUACAAGUCACUUUCUCGUAACAAUAGCUGAUUAUUAAGGUUACUCUGACAGUUCAAGCCCAGUCCGAGGUGGUUCUACGUUGGAGUGAUGUUGCUGCGCAGACCAGCUGCCAUUGUUUACUGCCGAUUAAAUUUGUCCAAAUUCAAUGUAAGUGAAAGCAAUGAGACUUUGGCACAAAGUGAAUAGGAAUGUAGGCAAAGUACCUACUCCAGGUGGGUUACCUUACUUCAGGGUUUUGCAUAAUUUUAGUUUCCCAGCAUAGUUCAGCAGUUGGUUUGACCCCUUUGGAGCAUACGUUAAGCAGUCAAGUUGUGCAAUUCUCUUGUAAGGCAUACCCUUCACCUUAGAAAUGUGAUCAUGUUUAGGACCUAUUUUAGGCCUGAAGCAGGUGCUCAGGGAGCCAUAUGGUAAACGGCAAAGUCACCUACCCAGUCGAAAUAAGCCCCAUUCUGAAAUUUUGAUUGUCCUUUUUCAUGGGCAUCCCACAGUUGUAAAAGCCAGGCAAUGCUUUACAGCAUUUAAAUAAAAGUCCCUAAGUGGUUUUAGAAUCCUUGUGUGAAAUUGGACAACACCAUUAAAUAAGUCAGCCCAUGAUAAAUCAAAACCCAUCCUAAUGAAGGGUCUCAGCCUGGAAUGUCAGCUUCUUAUUCCUCGCCAUUGAUGCUGCCUGACCUGCUGAGUUCCUCCGACAUUCUGUGUGUGUUACUCUAGAUUUCCAGCAUCUGCAGAAUCUCGAGUGUACGUGAUAGAUUUGCCUGUUUCCCUAGGACAUUAUAAUGAACAAGGCCCAUGCAAGCGUGCAGGUUGACUCGCUCAGCCCAGCCGCACUGCUGGAUCGUCUUGAUGGCCGGAAGGUGUCAAACAGCUGGAGGUGGCAGGUAUAUCCAGGUGAGAGGAGUGGUAGGCAGAUGAGGUUGGGAAUAAAGUCAGAAGCUGGGAGGUGAUAGGUGGAAGUGACCAAAGAUGGUGGAAUCCGACAGGAGAGGAUGGUGGAGCAUGGCAAAAAAGAGAGGGAUGCGGGGAGGGUUUGCUGGGAGGUGCAGGUGAUGGGCAGCUGGAGAGGGCGGGAGAGAGGUAAGAGAUGAGCUGAUGGAGCAGUGGGAUCAGGAGGAGAGAGGGUGAGAAAAAAGAAAAUUGGAGAAAAGGAGCAGAGGAUGAGCGGUUAUCAGAAGUUUGAGAAUUGAGUGUUCGUGCCACUAGUUUGGAGAACUGCUGAGACGGAACAUGUGGGAAGUUAGUUCUGCCAUUUGUGGAAGCAAAUAUGUGUACAUACUCUCAGUGGGUACUUUAUUAGGUAGAGGAUUGGAACCCGAUGUGGUCUUCUGCUGCUGUAGCCCAUCCGCUUCACACUUUGGCACGUUGUGCAUUUAGAAAUGCUUUUCGGCAAACUACUCUUGUUACACUUGGUUAUUUGAAUUACUGUCCUUUUCCUGUCAGCUUGAACCAGUCUGGCCAUUCCAUUCUGAUCUCUCUCAUUAACAAGGCUUUUUCACCCACAGAACUGCUGCGCGCUGGAUUAUUUUUUUGUUUAUGACACCAUUCUCUGUAAACUUUGUUGUGCAUGAGAAUCCCAAGAGAUCAGCAAUUUCAAAAAUACUCGGACCACCACGUCUGGCACCAACAAUCAUUCCAGAGUCAAACUCACUUCGAGCAUAUUUCUUCCCCAUUCUGAUGUUUGGCCUGAACAACAACUGAAACGCAUGAUAAUGUCUACAAGCGUUUAUGCAUUGUGUUGCUGUGACAUGAUUGGCUGAUUAGUUAUUUGCAUUAAUGAGCAGGUGUAGAGCUGUACCAAAUAAAGUGUAAUU